rnacentral:rRNA from 1 species
AGCGAACGCUGGCGGCAGGCUUAACACAUGCAAGUCGAGCGGGCACUUGCGGGUGUCAGCGGCGGACGGGUGAGUAACGCGUGGGAACGUGCCCUCGGGUUCGGAAUAACUCAGGGAAACUUGAGCUAAUACCGGAUACGCCCGUUUGGGGAAAGGCUUGCUGCCGGAGGAUCGGCCCGCGUCUGAUUAGCUAGUUGGUGAGGUAACGGCUCACCAAGGCGACGAUCAGUAGCUGGUCUGAGAGGAUGAUCAGCCACACUGGGACUGAGACACGGCCCAGACUCCUACGGGAGGCAGCAGUGGGGAAUAUUGGACAAUGGGCGCAAGCCUGAUCCAGCCAUGCCGCGUGAGUGAUCAAGGCCUUAGGGUUGUAAAGCUCUUUUAUCCGGGACGAUAAUGACGGUACCGGAGGAAUAAGCCCCGGCUAACUUCGUG